CUCUGACAAAGGUGUAGAGAGGUGUGGUUUGUGCGGGUUUCCUCAUGUACCCAUGUUCGCCUUUGGAAACCGCUUCACCCAUUUUAUGAAGGAUAUGUUUUUCACAUCAGGACAAAGUUGAACGAGUACCUGUGAGGAAGACCGAAAGACUCCAGGUUUCUCUUAUCCCUACUGCAACCCGCCUCCUUAAUGGCCGGACACAAACCUAGAUAUGGUUGCCAUGGUGAAGAGGGAAGAAUCAUCUACUACAGGAGGAUGUCAAGAAGGUGCAUAAGAUGAAACACGAGCCAGAUAUCGGACCUAAGGCCACCCUCAGCUGUAGCAACUAAUCAUGUCAACAUUCUGUUUCUGUGACCUGCAAUAAAAGUGUUUACUGCCUGGGUGUGGUGCUCUUUUGCUCGUUUGGGCCUCCUGAGUAAGGAAAGAGACACGGCAGCUGUUUUUAACUUGAACUUUUAACUGCUUAAUAAAUUUAAGAAAAUGCACUUUGA